rnacentral:lncRNA from 1 species
UGAAAGUCUUAAUCCCCAUCCCAUCCAAAUUUACGAAUAAAUGAUCCGUAAAAUUGUUGCGGGUGUCUUCACUUCUAAAACUCAAGAACACUUCGAACUCAUAUUUACGGACUGAGGUAGAAGAAGAAGAGGGUUUUUGGGUAGAGGAAGCCAUUGUUGGACAGUUUCUAGAUGAAAGCUUAGAGAGAGUCGAGGAAGAACUUGGGCUUAGUCAAUACUUGAUACGCCGACGGCAUAUUUGGGUCCUCGUAUGAAGCAAAACUAUUUUUUUUUUUUGGUGGUUGUGGGGUGGUUGGAUUGUAAAAAGCAAAGAUCGAUUUUCCCAAUACAUUUAAGCAGGCGAUCCUCUUGCCAUUUUUUGGGUCCAAAUGCAUAAGCAUGUGAUUUGUCAGUUAAAUGUCAAGGAGUAAUGAGUGGGGAGGUCGGUGGCUUUUAUUAUUAUUUUUUAUAUUUUAAAUAAAGAUCAACAUUUUAAAUACAUGCUUAUUACUAAAAAAAAUAAAAAAAUUUAACAAAUUAAUUAAUUUUAAUUAUCUUAUUAUUAAAUUUCAUUUAACUUAUUAUGAAAAUGUAAAAACCAUAAUAAUGAUUUACUGAAAAUAAUCUCUAUGUUUUUUGUAUAUUAAUUAUUUAUAAAUUUAUAUAUAUAUAUAUAUAUAUAUAUAUAUAUAAUUUAAAAAAUAAAUAUUCAUAUAUCAUUAGUUAUUUUAUACCCUAAAAUACAUUCAAACUAAAUAGAACAUUAUUUUUAUAAUAAAUGUGGUAAGAUACUUUAUAAAGUACCCUUUUCUUUAUUUUUAAGUUUUCUUUUUCACUUUACAAACUCAUCUAUGUUGCUAAAUGUAUCCCUUUUUUUGUUUUACAAUUUUUAUAUUCUUUCAACUUUUCAAACUCAAUAAUCCUUUAAAAAAAAAUUAAUUUUUAAAACUUUAUCUUUUAUAAAAAGUUUCUAAAACCAUAAAAUUUUUAGAUAAAUUUAUUAUUAUAUUUUUCAUUAAAAAUAAUAAUAACAAUGAAAUUUUUUAUAACGAUGAACCAUAAUAUUUCAAAAUUUCACAUAAAAUCUCAAUUACUUUAAAACGAAUGUUAAAUUAUAAAGAAUAAAUAUAAAUAAAGAGAUAAUAAUUAUUUCAAUUAUAUUCUAUUAAAGCUUUUGUUUCUCUUGUCUAAUAUUUAUAUUGACUCAUACAUAUCUUUCUGUUCCUCCAAUCUAAAACCAUAAAAAAUAACACUAAGGCAUUUUACAUUGGUGAAAGAAUACAUAGCAUGAAUAUAUUUGAAUUUGCAAGAUAAUUAUAUCAUGCAUCACUAAAUUUAUCCAUAAAAAUAAACUUACGAAAUGUUGCAAAUUAAAUAAUAUUUUUUUAAUCAAGAUUGGAUUGAAAAGGAAUUUUAUGAAUAUUCUAAAAUUCAUUCUCCCAUUUGAUUUUCGAGCAAAUCCAUGCAAAAGCCCCAAGAAAAACCAAAAAAAUUGUUUUUUUUUUUGCUCCCUAUGUUUUUUGGAUUUGUUCUAGGGGUCUCCGUCCCCCAUUCAAUUUCCAAAAAAAUUCAUCAUCGUUUGAUUUUUGAGAAAAUCCAUGCAAAACCCCUAAUAAAAACAAAAAAAGAAAUUUUUUUUUUUUUUUUGCUCCCUGUAUUUUUUGAGUCUAUUCUAAGGGUCUCUACGCUUUUGUGCAAUUGGAUUUAAAUUUCACAAACCCUAAAUCCACGAUUUUUGAGUCAAGCUGAAAAACACAACAUUUACCAGUCAACCGGUGAGAGGUGUGAGUGGGAGCCGACUUCACUAGGAGGGAGGGAGAGGCGGACGGUGGGUAUGGAAAGAAAAAAAAUAUACAAUCUUAAUAUAAAAAAUGAAAUCGGCUUAGAAUAUAUAAAAAAAUAUAUAAUUUUUCACAUUAGUUUUCAGAUUUUGUAAAGUUGAAUUCGGAAAAGUAUAUAUCUGUGGAUUGAAACCAUCAAAACACAAGUUUCCAGAUCAUUUAUUCACAAUUGUCAGAGUGUAAUGAGUGGGGAGAUGGGUGGCUUUGAAAAAAAGUUAAGUAAUUCAAAAGCAACGGUCAUCAUGUGACAAGAAUCAUUUAUUCACAAUUGUCAGAGUGUAAUGAGUGGGGAGGUGGGUGGCUUUGAAAAAAAUUUAAGUAAUUCAGAAGCAACUUAAUUCAAAAGCAACUUUAUUUCCUUGCGUUUACAUACCGAAAAUGCCGUUCAUGUAUGACAAUAUUUCCAUGAUAUGGAGCUUCUAACUGUUCAGGAAUAAUAAAUCAAGUUCAAUCGAAAAUGAAAAUGUCAUCGAUAUUGCAACAUUUCCACGAUAUAUCGAGCUUCGGUGGGCUUGGACAUGACAUAAAGUGGUGAGAUUUCCUUUGCUCGAUUUUUCGGGGAGAAAAUAUAUUAAGCACAGUGAUUUUUAUUUUGGUAUUACUUUGACCAGUCAAAACCUUUCAAUAUUAUUGCCAUGGAUCCUUCCCCCUUUAAUUAUUUUUAUUUUUCAUAUUCUAUUUUAUAUAUUAUUAAAAAUAUAAAAAUAUCAUAAUAAUCUUAUUAAUGAGGCAUUCCUUAUUUUUUUUUAAAAACUUAGAUAUAAAAUUAUUAACAUUUUUAAACAUAAAAAUAUAUUCAUAUAUCAUUAUUUUUUUUUAUAUUUUAAAUAAAGAUCAUCAUUUUAAACACAUGUUUGAUUACUUAAAAAAAAAAAAAAAUUUAAUAAAUUAAUUAAUGUUAAUUAUCUUAUUAUUUAAAUUUGAAAUUUCCAUCUUAUGCAAAUUUCAUAAAUUUGAAAAGAUCUCAUAUUAAUUUUUUCCAAAAUUAUAUUAUAUUGUAUGAACCUAGAAAACUUUUAAAAACUUUAAAAAUAUUAAAGCCAUUAUAAAUUUUAUUUUAUUCAAGUUUUAAAAAAUAAAAUCAUUAUGGAUUUUAUUUCAUUUGAGUAUAUUAAAUCACUUUUUAAAUACAUUUUAAAAUGAAAAAAAUUAGAAAAUAAAAUCAUUAUGGAUUUUAUUUUAUUUGAGUAUGUUAAAUCACUUUUUAAAUAUAUUUUAAAAUGAAAAAAUUAGAGUGCGUGUAUUGCCAAGAUGUUGACUUAGGCAUUGGAAAAAAUAGUAUAUGUACAUAUAUUAUUAUAAUAAUAAAUAAUGAGAAGAAACAUACAACUUAUUGUUUUAGUUUUAAGAUUUUGUGCGUGUAACGAAGAUAGAAGGGUAAUGAAUUAAUUAUGUAUUGAAUUUGAAAAUUAAUAAAAAUUAUAAUAUUUAGUCAUGUAGUUAUAUUGAUGUAUGGUAUUUAAAUUCGUUCUAUUAAAUUUUUCCUUUUUCUAAUGAUAUAAAAUGGGUGCAUUAAAUGUUUAAUAAGACAAAAAUAAUAAUAAGAGGAUAUAAAUGACUCUAUAGAUAUUUUAAAAUAAGUGUAUAAAAAGGGUCAUCAAAAAUAUAAUUUUUGGAUUUAACAAAAUAACAUCUGAGUUUUAAGUUUAAAAAAAUUUAAAACUACAAUCGUCAAAGAUGGGACGUAACGAUACUAGUUGGGAUAUGGUAACAUUUUCCUUUAUAAAUAUACUAUAUUUAUAGAUAAAUAUUGAAUACAUAGGGGAUGUGCAUGGGGUCUGAAAGAUGGGUAUAUGUGAAUAUGGGUGUGAGGGAGUUAGUGAGAAAUGGAGAUGACCAAUACAUGCAUGGUUCUUAUGCACGAGUAGAAAACGAGUAGUGGGGCAAUGAAUGAGGCAUCUUGGCGUGGUGGGUAUGAAUGGUGGAAAGGCACUGAAACGAAGUGGGUUUGAAGGGUUCGGUGUGUGUGAGUAAAUGUCAUAUGGGGGUAUGAUGAGUAGUGGUACCCAUGUGCAUGAGAUUAGUUAUAUUGGGUGGUGUAGGUUGGUAAGAAAACGGUGUGCUAGAGAGAGAAAGGUGGUGAUGGGCAUUUAAGUUUAGAGGGAGAAACGGGUCUAGUGGGUAUGUGAAUAAUGGAAAUGCGUAAGAGGAUAUGAAGAGUAGGAUGGGUGGUAGUGGAGUAUGAGGUAUGAUUAGGAUGGGAAGGUGGCGAGACUGCAUGGGAGAAGCUGUUAAUGACGAGUGCAAAUGAGAGGAACAGUGACGAUAGAGUAGAUGCUGCAUGAUCAGCAAAGGCAUUCACAAAUUGGGGUGGCUGGCUUGAAGCUGGGGUUGAGACCAAAACAUUUAUCAUUGGAGGAGUUAGUGGAGAUCCCUUCAUCAAUGAUGACCAACCAGGCAUUGGGCUUGGAACACUACGAGGUAGUUGGUUGCUGCGUCCAUUAACAUAGCCUAGCCACAAAUAUGCUGAAGUAUCCAGCAGAUUCCUAGCAAUACAAACCUCAACAAUCAGAUGCCGCAUGUUUCCAGAACAGUUCAUUGACAAGUCAUUCAUGCUCAUGCCAUCCAGGUACCCACUCCCGGCCGUGAUGGACUCUGAUUCUUAGUUAAAUCUUAUUUUCCAAUUCCUUUCUCAGUCUUACCUACAUGAUCAACUUCACGUGAAAUAAUAGGACUUGAGCUCUCAUAUUCAAAGGUGUGUUUCAAUGGUUAAUUCAACACAGCUCCCUUCUUAGACACAGUCCUUGAAGAUAUUCCUGCACCCCUUCCACUAAUAUUUGACUUAUCAUCUAAGCCAGAGUGGUUAGAUGAAACCAUGCCUGAUGAUUGCUCCCUAUUAGGAUUUUCACGUACUCGAAACUCAGUGCGCUGGAUUCGUUUGGUUUCCUUUGAAAUCCACUAGAAUCUGCCCGAGAAGACUCAGGAACUGGAAAUGAUGAUCUUGGCCCAGAAUUCUUAACUGUGAACAUAUAUUUUUUGCCUUUACCAGCAAAUAUUGGGCCCUGAGCCUUUGACCCACUUAAAUCUCUGUCCCUUGAAAAAGAUUGGGAUGAUGUGGAUCCAUUUCGUGGCAGGCCUUCAGAUUCUCUGGCAUUGGACAAGGAAAUGUAGUUCUUUUUAAUUGUUUCAUGAUGCCCUUGAUCUGUCACUUGGAGUCCUAAUUCAUACCUACUAUUGUGUUCAACAAUAUGGACAUAUCAGCUAGGGCAUGACUUGUCAUAACACUACUGUUUGCACUUACUCUCAGGGGCAAUGACUACUUCUUUUGAUGCGUUGUCCUGUGGCAGAUCCAAGCUCCUUGGAACAAGACCAAGUUGACUGUCCAUUGGAAGGGACACUACGUCAAUCUUAGUGUUUUGAAUGGCUUGAACGUGGAAAAGCCAACCUUCAGGAUUCUGAUUGGUUGUAAAAUGGGCAGGGGCAUUGGGCUGAACAAAAGACAUUGGUUGAGGAGCCAGUGGUAGAAUUCCUUGGGAGAUAGGUGAUGUAUAUCUGAGUUGACCAAACUGGAAGAGAGGAGGCUAUGAUGUGUGUAUAUGGGUAAGUGAUGAACCAACUUGGGGAUGUAGAUGGAGAGGCAUCUGUAUGGAGCCAAUCUGGAGUAGCAGAUACAGUAGACGUAACCGCCUUCCCAUAUGAGGAAUGCAUGGCCACAUUAACAGAAGAGGGAGCGGGAUGCAGUGAAGUCUGACUAGAACUAAUAGAAGCAUCCACAGAAUUCAAAACAUUAGAUGCCACCGAGGUAUGAGGACCAUUAACCGGCUGUAUAACUAAAUCUUGGAUUGCCUUUCCUGCGUCUUCAUCCCUCCUGCCAGAACCAUCAAUGCUCACUUGAGGAGAGCCAUCAGUAAGUUGAGGGCUUUGUCCUUCAUGUAUCCCACCAAAAGCACCUUGUUCCUCUACAGUACCAAGAGAAACCUUCGAUAGCAUAAAUGUGCUUUCUUCAUUUCCUGAACUUCUCUCAAACUCAUCACUUGGCAUUCUAACUUCAACACCCUCAUCCAAGCCCAAGACCGAGUUGUCUACCGUGUGGGGAGAGCCUUUCUCUCCUAAAUGCACAUCCUCCAACUCCUUGGUCAGGUUAAUAUGCUCAUCUACUUCAUGCACUUCAUCUUCUUCAUCUGAACUCUCUCAGAAGCAUUUCGAUUAAAACGACCAGACCAAACAUGAUGCCCAACAAAUACAUGCAUAAAGUCACCUAGCCAUGAUAAGUGUGUUGCAACUCUUCAUACCCAUGGACUGAGAACAUAUUUCUUGCAGUACCUUACCUCUUCAGGCAGAGAUGGGAAAUCUGAUGCGGUCUACAGCCAAGCAACAGGAACAGAGGAAAACAGCAAACAGAACACAAAUAAUGGGAACCAAAUGAACCCCCACCAACCUCAUUUCACGUAUCAAUCAAUGAGCUUAGACGUAGGAGUGGGUCAAAGCAGAUUUCAAAUGAGUUUUAAAACAAAAUUAAGACAUGAAUGCCAAUAUCUCAUAAUCUCAAAACAGGGGACAUAAAACAGAUUAGAAAUCAAAGGCAAGUGCAAACAAGCUCAAAUUCCAUAAAAAUAAAAAUAAAAAACAAACUAAAAUCCCCAAUAAAUACAUUCAAACACCAAAAUAGAAUCUCAUGAUACCCAGAUAAUGCAAUAAAAUGGCAUGAACGUGGAAAAGCUAACCUAUAGAAAUAAUAUCUAAGCCUCCUUUUUUCAAGGCUCUUCCCCUGCGUGUUUCUUCUUGUCUCUGACUGGGUUUCUCUUCCAAGAAAAUACAACUGAUAUCCCUUUACCCAAGCAAUCUUACUCCUCGGGUAACCACACUGCAGCGCCCUCCCUCUGUAACCUCUCAAAACUCUCUCUCAUGUACUCCCUCAACAAGACUUACAUCUCAAGCUAACCUCUCACUGCCCAAAAUAUCUCUCCAAACAGCAGCGAAGACAUCACCCUCAAAAAAAAAAAAAUAUCUCUGUAAAAAAAUCACCUCCCUCUCAAUACGCUCUCUCUCCCCCCUCCAACUUGCUGCCCAAGCUAAAGGAAUCCCCUCUAGAAACCGAGUUUGCUCCCUCUCUAGCUAAAACUCUCCUCCCAAGCUCUCUGCAACUCAAAAAUAUCUCUCUCAAACCAGCCCACGGAAUACCCUCCUCAGACAACAACUUCUCCCUCCCUCUAGCUUGCUACCCAAGCUAAAGAUGAAAACCUCUCUAAAAAUAUCUCCUAAAAAAACCCACCCCUGAAAAACACCAUCUACUCCCUCAAAAUGUCUCCCCCCAAAACGACAACGAAGACCCCAACUAGCUGGCUACGCUCCUGCACCAGCUCACUAACGGCCUGCAACUUUUCCAAACUCUUCUUGACACGUGUCCACCUUAUUGCCUCUUCAAUCCACUAUUAUGAUUCCAUAGCAGCCAUCCCUGAAGCAACACGUGGCUCUUUGAGAGCCUUGGUAAGAAAAACUCACAGAAAAGUGAGAAAAAAUGAGCCCCUAAAAUGGGGGUCAACACAUGAUAAUUGUUACGGCCUAUGUAUUCAUAAAUGAAGCUUUAAUUUUUUUUUUAAUUAAUUCAAACCAAAUUUUGGCCUAAAAUAGAUACAAUAAUAUGAUCUUUCUUUUUGAAUUCCAUAAUUCUUUCCAAAGAUAGAAAAAAAAAGUUUUAACUUUAGAUUGCCCAAGAACAUAGAAUCUCCAAAUUUCAUAAAAUAAAUAAAAAACUAUUUAAAUGACUUGACCAUAUGUAAUUUCGUAUUGAACUCGGUAUUCUUCCAAGCAUGAAAUCAUCUUAAAAAUUCUUUAGAUAUAUUUUUUCCACUAAUUUUAAUAAGUAUUUUAACAUUCAGUAAAACCAAAAAUAGAGAGGCAUACCUUAUUGAGUUGAGAAGGAAGCAAGACAUGUCUUCAUUUUUUGUGGUUUGAGUUCUCUGCAUAAGAACUUUUGAUUUUAUUGUAAUGACAAAUUAAGAAAAAUAUGAUCUCAAAAUUUUUAAUCUAUGGUAAUGACCAAAUAAAAAAUAUAUAGCUAUGAAAUGAGAAGUAUAUCAUAAGUUACAUGUAUCCAACGUGAAGAUCAAAAGAUAUGGCAAAGAUAUAGCUUUGAAGGAAAGAGGUAGGGACCAGAGUAAAAAUAAAAAAUAAAAAAUAAAAAAAUCAUGAGUUAUAAUAAACACACAAAAACUUUUAUAUUUCAUGAAGUGCCGUUGAUUUAAAAAUAAUAAGUAAUUAUUGAUAUUAGUUGUAAAAGAGAAAAAUAUCAAAUAUCAAAUGAAAAACAAAAAUAGAUAAAAAAAAAAUAGUUUUAAUUAUUGGUAUUAGUUAUGAAAGAAAAAAAACCUAUAAAGGAUUAAAUGAAACAAAAAAUACAGAAAUUUAUAUUAAAAAAAUAAAAAAUAUUUUCAAAGAAUUAAAAAAAGAUAGCAAGAAUUUUUUUUUUAGUAGAAUUUUUCAAUUUUUUCUUUUGUAAAAAAACUUUUUAAAAAAUCAUUAAUUUUAAUAAAAUUUUAGAAUUUUUUGAAAUAAUUAAAUUGAUAAAUUUUCUAUUUAAAAUUUAUUAUAAUAUAGAGGUAGCACUAUCCUUAUCAAUAGUAAAUUAGUUACAACAUGAUUAAAUCUAAAAUUUUAGGUAUCUUAAAAAUCUUAAAGUCAACCAAAACAACCUACACUAAAAAAGUUAUUUAAUAAACUAUAAAUUAUUUAAAUUAAAUUAAAUUUUAUUAACAAUUAAGUAGAAAUAAUCUAAAUAAUCAUAUAGUCAUUUGUAGUUUAGUAACUACUUAAUUAAAUUUAAAAAUUUAAACAUUUAACAAAUAUCAAAAUCAAACCAAAUAUCCCAUCACUAAAAAUAUUAACUUUAUAAUUAAAAAAACAUUUUUAAAAAUUUGUUUUAUGAUAUAUAUUACGAUUUAAAUAAAAUUAAUUUUAUAAGCAUUAAAUAAAAUAAAAAAUAUGAUAAAUAAAUAUUUUAUAAAAUCUAUUUAGUAUCGGCAUUUAUCUAAUUUCUUUUUUUUCAUACAAAAUCGUUUUAUGAGGAGCUGAAAGCUUAUAUUUUGGCUUUUUAUUCUUUAACAUUCCUAAAUAAAUAGAAGGAUAUUUUGCCCCAAGCCCACCAUGCUCCUUCACUAGCCCUAGGUCAUGCUCUCACCUUUUAGAUUGUUUAUAAAUGGAUGCUUCGCUUUCUCACAUUACCAAAUGAGAAAAAGGCCAAAGCGAGGGCAAAAUAACUAUUAAAUUAUAUAUGUUUCACGUAAAUAGAGUUUUUGUAACAUAAUCAAUCAAUUUAAGAAACAUAUCAUAAUUAUUAUUAAGCUCUAAAUAUAUAGUUUACGUGAAAAUAUUCACCUUCCAUUUUGCCUCCUAAAUUGCAUGCUUUUGACUACCUUCAAAAUUUCGAUAAUCUAUUCCAAAUAUGAUACUUGAAUAAGUCAUAAAGUAUUUUUUUUAAAAAAAGAAAAAAGAAAAAUGAGUUCUAACUUUCAAACAAACCUAAGGUAGGGGUUCUCAAAAUUUCCUAAAAUUUUAGGAAAAUUAAGAACACAUAAUUAAAAUAAAAUCAUGAAAAGAAAAAAAAGGAAAAAAUGACUCACUAGGUUAUGAUUUUAAAAAUUAUUUAGAUAUUUCUUUUUUCACUAAUUCAAUCUAACAAAUAAUUUAACCAAUGAUUAGUUAUGGUUCCAUGAUAUGAUGAUGAUAGUUGUCCUCUACUUUUUCAUCUUAAAAAAUGAAGCAAAAUAAGUAUUAAUUCAUGCUUUAAAAGAUGAUUAUGCAGUUUAAAAAACAUAUGAUUUGGCAUACCAAUUUAGAUAUGAAGUUCUAAAUAAAAAUUGUAAUUAAUUCAAACAAAAAUUUUGGCCUACCAAAAUAGCUACGAUUUUUCUUUUUAAAUUCAAUAAUUCAUUGUAAAGAUAAAGCUUUGAUAGCUGCUAAGAUAUUUAUUAAGGAAAAAAAAAGUUUUAACUUUAGAUAGGCCAAGAAUAGGGGAUCUCCAAAUUUCAUAAAAUCUUUGGAUGAUUACAAACAAAUAAAUCAAAAUAAAAGCUUAAAAAGAAAAAACUUAUUUAAAUGACUUGACCAUAUCUAAUUCGAUAUUGAACUCCAUAUUCUUCCAAUCAUCUAAUCAUUUUAAAAAUUUCUAGUAAGUAUUUUAACCUUCAAUGAAACCAAAAACAGAGAAGGCAUACAUUAUUUGGGUGAGCUGGAAACAGGGAUGUCUUCAUUUUUUCUAGUUUGAGUUCUUUGUAUAAGAACAUUUUAUUUUAUUGUAAUGAAUAAAUGAGAAAAAUAUAAUCUCAUAAUUUUUAAUCUAUUGUAAUGAGUAAAUAAAAAAAAUAUAGAUAUAUAAUUAGAAGUAUAUAAGUUAAAUGUUUCAAACCAUCUUUUAUAAGAAUAUCAAAAGAUAUGGCCAUAAAGGACAACGGAGUUAGGUGGAUAGGGGGAAAAGUCAAAAGACCAAAAAAAAAAAAAAACUCUUAAUUUAUAAUCAACAUACAAAAACUUUUAUAUUUCAUGAAGUGGUCUAAGUAUCAUUUUAAAAAGUACGUAAUGAUUGACAUUAAUUAUGAAGGAAAAAAAAUAUAUGAACUAACAAAUGAAACAAGAAAAAUAGAAAAAGAAGUGUUGUAAUUGUUGAUAUUAGUUAUGAAAAAAAAAUAAAAACUAUCAAAUGAAACAAGAAAAAUAGAUAAAGAAGUGUUGUAAUUGUUGACAUUAGUUAUGAAAAAAAAAUAAAAACUAUCAAAUGAAACAAGAAAAAUAGAUAAAUAAGUGUUUUAAUUAUUGAUAUUUGUUGUAUUAUGUGACUCAUAUUGAGUGAAAGACAUAUAGAGAAAAAUGUGCAAAUACUGAAACAAAGCGAAGUGAAACGGAGCAGAGUAACAACAUUUGCCAUUCAAACUUGUAUUUUUAUUGUUGUGGGCGAAUGAUAGGUUGGGAGGGUUCGAGGAAGGGGGGCGUCUUCCCGCAAUAUAGUGUAGGGGUAUUUUGGAAUUUCAUUACCUAAGGGUUAGUACAAAUACCCUUUUUAUAUAACCCUAAUUUUAGAUAUAGUGAAAGUUUUCUUCCCUAUUCUCGUGGAUGUAGACAAUCUGUUGAACCACAUUAAAUUUGUGUGUUUUUCUUUUCAUUUUCUCUAAUUUUCACCAUAAAUCGUUGCAUGAAACUUAACAAUUGGUAUCAAAGCGUCAGGUUCGAUGUCAGGGAUUUCUUUACGAAGUUCGACAUAGUCAAGUUCGAUGGAUUCGGGAAUUUCGAUUUAUGGCAGAGGACGAUUAAGGAUCUAUUAGUGCAACAAGGUAUGGUUGAUUACUACUCAAAAAGUGUUAUUUCAUAGCUUGUAAUUAACUCUUUUAAACAUUUUUGAGUAUUGGUUAUUACCUUUUAACCCAAUUAACAUGUUAAGGACCCUUGUAAUCAAUUCUAAUAAAAAAUGUGUUAAGUUUUGGUGUUUUGAUAGCUUUUUGAUCACCAAAGCAAUCUGAGAUUGAAGAGAGUUCUUUGGAAUCCAUGCAAGGAGUAUACCCGGACAGGGUGUCCGGAUACACCAUCGGAGGGCAUCCGGACAAUACAUCCGGAUAGUGGAAGUGCGCCACCAUUCCAUCCGGCUGCCGCCACUUUAUACCCGACUGCCGCCACUUUACACCCGGAUGCCGCACUUUCCACCCGGAUGUAUCACAUCCGGAAAUCUGCUGCCGCCGCCAUUACAUCCAGAUGUCUCACAUCUGGCACAUUAUAUCCGGAUAUUUUGCAUCCGGCGCCUGACGCCGGAUGGGAGAGGAGAGCGUUUUGCACAGUGUCACGGUGUUCUCUUGAAGCUUCCCGAUAUUUGCACCGAAAUUUUGGGAUAUUUUGAGAUAUUUUGCUUUAGAUAUUUAAUGUCGGUGUUCUCCUGAAGCUUCCAGAUAUUUACGACUGACACUUUGGGAUAUUUUGUUUUAGAUAUUUUAUGUCUAAAUUCCCAAAGUCUCCUUGUAACCCACCAAUUAUAGGAUUCCUUAGUCUUUAAGUAAGUACAAAGGGUAAAUAACCCUUUAUAUAUAGUUUGUAAUCUUCUUUGAAAGAAGGAUCAGAAUUAGAUCUCGGGAGCCUGUUCCCAAGGAGGUAUAUCCUGGGAGCUUGUUCUCAGAGAUGCAUCCUUUGUACAGUUUUGGGAAGGAAGUAAAAUACAGAGUACUUGCUCUGCUUUUGUUUUCUCGUUAUUUUCUUUCUAGCUAAUCAAAUUCUAAGGAUUUUUCCUCAGAGGAUGAGAGGUUAGGCUCUUUGUUUCUUGGAGUGAAGAAAGCCGAGUAAAUUUCCUCAUGCAUAAAUUGGAAGUUUUGUUGUUUUAGUUUUUAAUGAAGAGAAAGUGUGACCCAUUAAUGGUUUUUAUCUUUUUAGUUAACUUAAAACGCCUUUAAAUCACCUGGGCCAACACUUGGUAAGCUUUUGGACUCUACGGAGACAUCCAUUAGUUAUCUCUUGCGAGCUUUUGACGGGUAAUCCAAGGUUAAAGAUCACCUUGAAUGGCAAGUGCUAGGUGAGAGGUAUGAGCCACUGCAAGGUGCAUCAAUGAGAGAGAUUUAGUGUUUGAACCCAUUAAUGGGAAGCAUCUGUACCACACCGGUUCGGGAAAUAACUAUAUGUUAAAUCCCCAAUGCGAGGAAAAUAAACGAGUGACCGGAACUCUCCUUUUUGUAUGAGGAAUCUGAACCUAGUGAUCUAAACUCCAAGAGACACUUUUCUUUAUAAGUAAAAUCAGUUACUAUUUUUGGUUAGUUUAAAACCAAACCUUUUUCCGCUAAAGAUUAUGUUUUCUUUUAAAGCUAACCUUGAAAUGAAAAGGCAUCAAUUCAACUUUGAAUUAAUAUCAAUUGUGAAGUGAAAACCCAUCCCAGUGAACGAUCCUAGAGCCACUAUGUUAUAGUAGCUUUGUCUUUACUACCCUAGUUCAUGGUGUAAUAGGUUAUAAAUUUUGUUGAUUACUCCCUCAAUCAAGGAGCACCAGCUGGACAUGAAUCAGCUGAUACACCAAGUGGGCACGAAUCAAAUGGCGCCGUUGCCGGGGAUGGUGCCACUUUACAGUGAUAUGACCUUUUCAGAGUACUUGUGAUCUUCAUCACAAGUUUGGUGACUUUUCUUUUCCUUUUACUAACUCUUUUUAUUUGUUUAUUUUCCUUUGUUCAUGUUUUAGUAUAUCUUUUAUUUAGUUUUUAGUUAAACUUAAUAAUUUUCUUUAGAAUUUUUUUUUUCUUUUGUUUUCUCUGUUUUUAAUUCAGAAAUUGCUAGUUGUGCAUGCCAUAUUGAAUACGAGAUAGCAGAGGAAGCCAUUAACUUCAUGAGUUAAGUGGCUAAAUUUUCAAGAGGAUGGGAUGAACCAAAUGUUAGAAAUAUGGGCAGAAUGACAUCUCAACCUAAAACUAAGGGUGAGAUGUAUAUUUUGAAUGACGGCAUGAACAUGAAGGCAAAGAUUGCAGCUAUGGAAAGGAGAUUGGAAGAGCUAGAAAUGAACCAGAUGCAAGAAGUGCAAGCCAUCUCUCAGACACCAUUGCAAGCUAUGCCUUGUGCCAUUUGUCUAUCUUAUGAGCACUUGGUGAAGGAGUGUCCUACCAUUCCAGUGGCGAGGGAAAUGUUUGGUGAUUGCAACACCUACAAUUCCAAUUGGAGGAAACAUCCAAAUUUCUCUUGGAAACCACAGCCACCUCAGUACCAGCAACCUACUCAAGCACCACAGCAAGCCUCAAACCUUGAACAAGCUAUGAUGAAUCUUAACAAGGUCAUGGGAGACUUUGUUGAAGCUAAAAAAUCCAUUGUUGAUCAAGUCAGGCAAGAAAUUGACAGCCAAGACAAAAAGACGGAUGGGAGGUUGAAUGAUCUGUCUCAGAAGACAGACAAUCUCGAAUACACAAGCUCAAGGUUUGCCAACCUCAACGCAAUGCAAGAGAAAGAAAACUUUCUUUUUCAACCUCAUAAAAAUCAAAAGGGUAUCCAUGAAAUAGAGGUUGGGGAGAGUGAUAAAGAGGUUGAUCUGCCCGCAUGCAAGCUAGAGCAUGAGGUAGAGAGUGAAACAGAGAAAGAAAAGAGGGAGGAAAUCAAAGGAAAGAGAAAGGGGAAAAGUACAGAGAAAGAUGACUGUAUAAAUGAAAAAUCACAGAGAAUAGUCAUCAAGGAAGAAUUGAUGAAGAAACGCAUACCUCCACUUUUCCUCCAAGCUUUGUAUGGGAAAAUCAUACAAAACAAAUCCCAAGUGAGGGAUGCAAACUUCAUAUGGGAUCCGGGCAAGCUAAAUCAGGAUCAAAUUUUUUUAUGGACUUAGUCUUUUUAAAGACUAGCUAGUCCAUAUCUUUUUGUUUUGUUUUUUACUUGUUUUAAUUUUGAUUUUAAUGUUUUAAAUUUUGAUUUAAAUGCUUUAAUUUUGAUUUCAAUGCUUUAAUUUUAAUUUGUUUUGAUGUAAUAUAGGUUUUUGGAUGAUUAAAAUCAAGAGGAAUGUCAAAAGAGUUGAAAGAAGGAAGUUGAGAAUCAAGAAGAGCUCAAAAAGCAAGGAGAGAGCAUGGCCUGCGAAAUUUCGCAGCAAAAGUGAGCCGCUGCGAAAAUCGCCCCCCUCGCUGCGAAAUGGUUUCACAGCCUCCAAGCGCCCUCUGCAAAAAUUUUCACAGCUGCGAAGAGGUCCCUUGGCACACGAGUGCCAUUUCGCAAGCCUGUACACCCGUUUCGCAGCUGCGAAAUGGCUGCGAAACCUCCACGCCUUGAAAUCCUCCAUUUCGCAGCCGAUGAGCCAUUUCGAAGGGUGUUUCGCAACUGCGAAACCACCCUUUGGCACACGAGUGCCACUUCGCAGCACCCGUACGCCCAUUUCGCAACUGCGAAAUGGGCUGUGAAAAUUGCCCUCCUCCGCGAAAUCCACCCCCCGCUACGAAAAUGCUCAAAGCUUCAAAAAUGGGCUGCAAAAUUCCCAUUUUGUUGCCAAAUGAUUUCCAAACUUCCAAAUGGCUGUGAAAUGAUCUCCAAGCUUCAAAAUGGAUGUAAAAUGGCCUCUAAGCUUCAAAAAGGCUACGAAAAAGCUCCAGGCAUCAAAAUGGGCUGCGAAAUGAUUUCGCAGCCCCAUAGCUACCCCUUGUGAAAUCCUCCAUUUUCUGUAAAAAUGGCCUUUUGAUUGCGAAAUGAUUUUCCAAACUUCAAAAUGGUUGUGAAAUGAUUUCCAAACUUCGAAAUGGGCUGCAAAAAUGUUUUUCUUUUUUCCUUUUGGCUUCGAAAUGGCUAAGAAAUGGCCUCCAAGCUAUGAAAUGAUUUGCAAAAACACUUUGCAAAACCAAGGGAAGUUGCAAAAAUGCCAACAAAGCCAUGCAACCAUGCAUCUAAAGAGGAGAGCCCUCUCACUGAGAUCACACACAUGAAGCCUCUCACUCCACUUCUUACCUCCUAAAACCAUAAGAGCCCAUAGCUCCAGUUGAGGAGACUAUGCCACCUAAGGAGACUACCAGAAUAGAGGCCAAAGUCAUGAUCCAACCUACUCAAGAGGCCACCACAGAUGUAUUAACACCACAGAUGCAUCAGCUCCACAGGACCUUACCAUUAUUUGAUCAUCUCUUUACUUUUUGUCUUUACAUAUUAUAUUAGUAUACAUAAUUCCAUGUUUUGAUGUCUUAUAUUCUGGGAUUGGAUGUAUUACUGAUGAUGCAUCAUAUAUAGACAUCAAUUCUUGUUUAAAACUUGGCAUUUUUCUAUUUGCUCUACUCACUAUUUUUUUUGAAACAUGUGGUUUCUCCUAUACGACUCAGACUCCAUGUCACCCAGGAGGUACCACUUCCUCCCUAUUAUUCAAUCGUGUUGUCACAUUGAGGACAAUGUUCAUCUUGGUUGAGGGGAGAGUUGAGGAAGUAAGUUUUGUUAAUAAUGCUAAGUUAUUUUGGUAAUUUAGUUGUUUUUGUUUAAUUUUUAAAAUUUUUUGAAAGUUUUUUAUUCUACUCUCCAUGCUUAUUAAGGAAAAAUUUUCAAAAUGAAAAGGGAGAAAUUGAAUUUUUGUCUUUUUACUUAACUUAGAGUUUGUAUUAUGCUUAUUAAAGUUGAUGAAUUGUUGAAACUUCUAUUGAAUUCAAGCUUAUGUCUUCCACUUUAAGCUAUUCACACACUGUGCACAAUAGGUUCCGAUUAUAAGAUGAAAAACUAUUUCCCUCUUGACUUAGGAAAAUUUAGACUUGGUACCUUUGACAUCAUUUAAUAGUGUUGGGACACCUUAUAAAAGGCCAAUGAGUCUUUGAAAAAAAAAGAAGAAAGAAAAAUGUUUGCUUACCUUGAAACCCGAGCAAGGUCCGAGGGGUAUAUGGUAAAAAUCUUUAAAACCUGGUGCCCUAAGCCUUCAUUGGUUGGGAGUCACCGACCUCAAUACUCGUUACAAGGGUGAAUAUGUGGAGUUUAACAUACUGUAGGUGCUUAGGUAUAAAAAUUCAUUCUUAAAAGUCCGGGGUAAAAUCCGAGGAGUUAGUCGUUGAAAAAUCCUUAAAACUUGAUGCCCAAAACCUUAAUUGGUUGGGAGUCAUCGAUGGAUCCCCAUUACAUGGACAGUUUAGAAAAGAAAUACCUUUAAGCCUUGUACUCCUACAAUGAAAAAAAUUGUGAAAAAAAAAGGUGCGUUCUUAGCCUAUUGGAGGUUGAUCAGUUUGCUAAGCUUUGAAAAAAGAACUAGGUUGGGGGGAGAGAUUAGUUCAACAUACUAUAUUCGGAAGCUAAUAAAUAACACUUAGAUUUUUGUGGAAGAGUAAGGUUUGACCAUUUGGGAGUGGAAACUCUUUUAAAACUUAAAUUUGCAUAAUGCCUUCUCUUUAAGAAUAAUGAUUAGACAAGUUAUUUGAUAACUCUUGUUGAAAUUUGAGUUUUAUUUCUUUAAAUGUUCCAUGUGAGAGGUAGAUCAUCAUGCCACUUGAAAAUUGUUUUUUGAUCAAGCAUGAUGUUGUAAAUUAUAGUAUUGUUUAUUUUUAUUUUUCUCUUCUUCAUUGCUAAGGGACUAGCAAUAUGUCGGUUGGGGGGAGUGAUUACUACUCAAAAAGUGUUAUUUCAUAGCUUGUAAUUAACUCUUUUAAACACUUUUGAGUAGUAGUUAUUACCUUUUAACCCAAUUAACAUGUUAAGGACCCUUGCAAUCAAUUCUAAUAAAAAAUGUGUUAAGUUUUGGUGUUUUGAUAGCUUUUUGAUCACCAAAGCAAUCUGAGAUUGAGGAGAGUUCUUUGGAAUCCAUGCAAGGAGUAUACCCGGAUAGGGUGUUAGGAUACACCAUCGGAGGGCAUCUGGACAAUACAUCCGGAUAGUAGAAGUGCGCCCCCAUUCCAUCCGGCUGCCGCCACUUUACACCUGGAUGCCGCACUUUCCACCCGGAUGUAUCACAUCUGGAAAUCUGCUGUCGCCGCCAUUACAUCCGGAUGUCUCGCAUCCGGCACAUUAUAUCCGGAUAUUUUGCAUCCGGCGCCUGACGCCGGAUGGGAGAGGAGAGCGUUUUGCACAGUGCCGCGGUGUUCUCUUGAAGCUUCCCGAUAUUUGCACCGACAUUUUGGGAUAUUUUGAGAUAUUUUGCUUUAGAUAUUUAAUGUCGGUGUUCUCCUGAAGCUUCCAGAUAUUUACGACCGACACUUUGGGAUAUUUUGCUUUAGAUAUUUUAUGUCUAAAUUCCCAAAGUCUCCUUGUAACCCACCAAUUAUAGGAUUCCUUAGUCUUUAAGUAAGUACAAAGGGUAAAUAACCCCUUAUAUAUAGUGUGUAAUCUUCUUUGAAAGAAGGAUCGGAAUUAGAUCUCGGGAGCCUGUUCCCAAGGAGGUAUAUCCUGGGAGCUUGUUCUCAGAGACGCAUCAUUUGUACAAUUUUGGGAAGGAAGUAAAAUACAGAGUACUUGCUUUGCUUUUGUUUUCUCGUUAUUUUCUUUCUAGCUAAUCAAAUUCUAAGGAUUUUUCCUCAGAGGAUGAGAGGCUAGGCUCUUUGUCUCUUGGAGUGAAGAAAGCCGAGUAAAUUUCCUCAUGCAUAAAUUGGAAGUUUUGUUGUUUUAGUUUUUAAUGAAGAGAAAGUGUGACCCAUUAAUGGUUUUUAUCUUUUUAGUUAACUUAAAACUCCUUUAAAUCACCUGGGCCAACACUUGAUAAGGCAAGUGAUCUCCAUCCAUUGAGAUGCACUAGUUUAUCUCUUGCGAGCCUCUGGGAGGUAGUUUGAAGGUAGGAUUUUCUAGAAUAGCCAACACUUGGUAAGCUUUUGGACUCUACGGAGACAUCCAUUAGUUAUCUCUUGCGAGCUUUUGACGGGUAAUCCAAGGUUAAAGAUCACCUUGAAUGGCAAGUGCUAGGUGAGAGGUAUGAGCCACUGCAAGGUGCAUCAGUGAGAGAGAUUUAGUGUUUGAACCCAUUAAUGGGAAGCAUCUGUACCACACCGGUUCGGGAAAUAACUAUAUGUUAAAUCCUCAAUGCGAGGAAAAUAAACAAGUGACCGGAACUCUCCUUUUUGUAUGAGGAAUCUGAACCCAGUGAUCUAAACUCCAAGAGACACUUUUCUUUAUAAGUAAAAUCAAUUACUAUUUUUGGUUAGUUUAAAACCAAACCUUUUUCCGCUAAAGAUUAUGUUUUCUUUUAAAGCUAACCUUGAAAUGAAAAGGCAUCAAUUCAGCUUUGAAUUAAUAUCAAUUGUAAAGUGAAAACUCAUCCCAGUGAACGAUCCUAGAGCCACUAUGCUAUAGUAGCUUUGUCUUUGCUACCCUAGUUCAUGGUGUAAUAGGUUAUAAAUUUUGUUGAUUACUCCCUCAAUCAAGGAGCACCAGCUGGACAUGAAUCAGCUGAUACACCAAGUGGGCACGAAUCAAUGGUGAAGGUGUUAUCCGGAAAACAACCAAAAAGAAUGAAUGACAUGGAUUAGAAGGAUUUGGAAGCAAAGGUUGCGGCAACUAUCAGGCUUUGUUUGGCUGAUAAUGUGAUGUACCAUGUCAUGGAUGAGGAAUCAUCGACGAUAAUUUGGUUGAAAUUGGAAAGUCGGUAUAUGUCUAAGUCAUUGACGAACAAGUUGUAUCUGAAGUAAAAACUGUAUGGUCUUAAGAUGGUAGAGGGCUCAGAUCUAAGCCAGCAUAUCAAUGUGUUUAAUCAUAUCAUUAGUGAUUUGAAGCGAAUUGAUGUGAAGUUCGAAGAUGAAGACAAGGCGUUGAUGUUAUUGAAUUCCCUUCUUGCUUCUUCUACAUAUGAAAAUCUAGUUACAACUCUGAUGUGGGGAAAAGAAACUCUUGAUUUGGAGGAUAUCACAAGUAUUCUUUUAGGAUUCAAUAAGAAGAAGAAAGCCAAUAAUGAGAGUUCUCGGGGUGAAGGGCUUGUGGCAAAAAGUAAUCAGGAACGUGGGAGAAACAAGUUUCGGAGCGAAUCGAGUAACAAUAAAUCUCGAUCUAAAUCCAAGAAGAGAAAUGACAUACAAUGUUAUAAGUGCGAAAAAAAUAGGGCACAUGAAACGAGAUUGUCCAGAGAAAAAGAAAGAGGGCUCGGUAUCGAAAAAUAAAGAGGGUAUCAAAGUCUACAAAUGCAGUGGUAGAAGAAGACUCAGAGAGUGGUGAUGGUGAUAUGUUGUUGGUUUCAUCCAGUUCAAAUCAUCUUACAGAUUCUUGGAUCUUAGAUUUAGCAUGGUCUUAUCAUAUGACACCCAAUAAAAAUUGGUUUAACACAUACAAGUUAGUAAAUUCUGGUUCUAUUAUGAUAGGUAAUGAUGUUUCAUGCAAACUUGCUGGAAUAAGGAAUAUCAUAAUUAAAAUGUUUGAUGGUGUUGUUAGAACAUUGUGUGAUGUUAGACCUAUACUUGAUUUAAGAAAAAAUAUGAUUUCUUUGGGGACUUUAGAUUGUAAUGGGUUUAGUUACAAGUCUACAAGUGGAGCAAUGAAGGUGAGUAAAGGUGUUAUGAUAGUGAUGAAAGGGCAGAAGCUAGCAAGUAAUAUUUAUAAACUGUUAGGUUCCAUAGUUGUAGAUGCAGUUGCAACUGUAGAGUCUGAGUCAGAUAGUACAGUUUUAUGGCAUAUGGGUGAGCGUGGGAUAAUGGAGCUUUAUAAGAGAAAUUUGUGUCAAAACAUGUAAACUUGAUUUAUGCAAGUAUUGUGUUUUUGGGAAACAGAAUAAAGUGCAGUUCAAGAUAGCCACACACAAAACAAAGGAGUUUCUUAACUAUGUUCAUACAAAUGUUUGGGGACCAAUGAGAGUAGCAUCAUUGGGAGGAAAUAUGUAUUUUGUGACUUUUAUUGACGAUUACUCACUAAAGGUUUGGGUGUACUUCAUGCGGCACAGGUCAAAAACAUUUUCCAAGUUUAAGUUAUAGAAAGCUGAAGUAGAAAACUAGACAGGGAGAAAGAUAAAGUGCCUCAGGUUAGAUAAUGGUACUGAGCAUACAGAUUCAAAAUUCACAAAAUUGUGUGAGCAGCAUGGGAUAAAAAGACACUUCAUAGUAUGCAAGACACCAGAACAGAAUGGUGUAGCAGAAAGGAUGAACAGAACAAUAGAUGAAAGAGCUUGAUGUCUCAGAUUGAAUAUAGGGCUUGAAAAGAAAUUUUGGGCAGAAGCAAUGAACAUGGCAUAUUACUUGAUCAACAGGUCACCCAGAGCAGCAUUAGAUGGGAAAGUAGUAGAAGAGGUAUGGACAGGCAGUCCGAUAGAUUACUUUGGUUUGAGAGUAUUUGGGUGCCCAACUUAUGUGCAUAUUUCUAAUGAGGAAAGAUCGAGCUUGAUGCGAAGUCUAGACAAUAUGUUUUUUUGGGGUAUCAGAAAUGGGUGAAAGGCUUCAAGCUCUGGGAUCCAAAGGCAAACAAGGUGGUGAUCAGUAGAGAUGCGAUUUUUGAUGAGAAAGUCAUGUUACAGUGUACUCAGAAAUGAGAGAAACAGGAACCAAAAAAUGGCAGCAAUAGUGAGCAACUGAUACAGGUGGAAUUAGAGACCCAUGAUAUAGAGGAUCGUGCUCGAAAUGUAAGGAAGUCUAGUUCAGAAGAUUAAAAGCAUCACAGUAUAACCACAAACAGACAUAGACGCACUAUCAAGCCACCUACCAGGUAUGGUUUUGAAGAUUUGGUUUCUUAUGCACUAAUUACUAGUAGUAGGGAUCCUACUACCUUUCAAGAGGCAAUACACAACUAAAAGAAAAGUGGAUGGAUGGGUGCUAUGGUGGAGGAGACUUAGUCUUUUGCAUAAGAACCAGACAUGGGAGUUGGUGGAGCUUCUAGAGAGGAAGAGAGGAAUAUGAUGUAAGUGGGUGCACUAGAAGAAAGAAACAGUUUCAGAAAAAAAUAGUGAAAGGUUCAAAGCUCGUUUAGUAGCAAAGGGUUACUCAUAGAGGAAAGAGGUUGACUAUGAUGGGAUUUUUUCCCCCCGUGGUCAGACACACUUCCAUUAAGAUAGUGUUGGGCUUAGUAGCACAUUUUGACAUGCAGUUGGAGCAAAUGGAUGUAAAGACAACUUUUCUUCAUGGUGACUUAGUGGAAUUGGUUUAUAUGGUACAACCAUAAGGGUUUAUUCAACCUGGACAAGAGCACUUGGUCUAUAAAUUGAGAAAAUCACUUUAUGGGUUGAAGUAAUCCCCAAGGCAGCGGUACAAGCGAUUUGACUCCUACAUGAUCAAGAUUGGCUACAAGAGAUGUGAGUAUGAUUAUUGUGUUUAUGUAAAAAGCCUAGAUGAUGAUUCAUUUAUUUUUCUAUUACUCUAUGUGGAUGACAUGUUAAUUGCUACAAAGAGUAUGAUUAAGGUCAAUAAGUUGGAGUCUUUGUUGAGCAAGGAGUUUGACAUGAAGGAUUUAGGUGCGGCCAAGAAGAUCCUUGGGAUGGAGAUUCAUAAGGAUAGAGUUUCAGGGAGACUAUGGUUAUCUCAGCAUAGCUAUGUCAAGAGAGUGUUGAAGAGGUUUAACAUGGAUAAUGCAAAACUGGUAAGUACACCCUUAGCAGAUCAUUUCAUAUUGUCUACUAAUUAAUGUCCAAAAAUAGAUGAUGAAGUAAAAGACAUGUCAAAGGUUCCUAAUGCAAGUGCAGUGGGAUGCUUGAUGUAUGCUAUGGUUUGUACAAGACCAUAUUUGACACAUGUUGUUAGUGUGUUGAGUAAGUUUCUAUCAAAUCCGGGAAUGCAUUGGGAUGCAAUAAAGUGGAUCUUUAGAUACUUAAAGGGUACUACAGACUAUGGCAUCAUGUUUAGCAAACAACAAAGUAAUCCUUCAAUUAAGGGAUAUGUUGAUGCAGACUAUGCAAGAGACUUGGAUGAUAGGAGGUCUACCACAGGUUAUGUAUUCACCCUUGGUGGAGGACCUAUUUGUUGGAAGCCUAUGAUACAUUCUCUAAUUGCACUAUCUACUACCGAGUCAGAAUAUAUGGCAAUAGUUGAGGCUGCAAAGGAAUCAUUAUGGCUUAUAGGUUUGGUCAAGGAGUUGGGUAUUCAACAAGGUGGAGGUCAAUUAUAUUGUGACAAUCUGAGUGCCAUUUAUUUGGCAAAGAACCAGGUGUAUCAUGCAAGGACCAAACAUAUAGAUGUGAGGUUUCAUAAGAUCAGGGAAUUGGUUUCUUUUGGUGAAUUGUUACUUGAGAAGGUUCACACCUCUGAGAAUGCAGCAAACAUGUUGACAAAGCCUGUUACCACAGAAAAGUUCAAGCAUUGCUUGAACUUGAUUAAUGUCUCCAGAUGUUAGAUAGGAGAUUCCCUAACCUAUUGUCUCAGGUAGAGUUACUAGUUAUGUUUCUUGUUUCCUAAGGGGGGUGAUUAUUUGCCAAGAUGGAGAUUGUUGUAGUAUGUGGCUCAUAUUGAAUGAAAGACAUAUGGAGAAAAAUAGGCAAAUGUCGGAGCGACGACAUUUUCCAUUCAAGCUUGUAUUUUUAUUGUUGUGGGCGAACGAUAGGUUAGGGGGGGGGGGGGGGGGAAAAAAAAAAAAAAAAAAAAAAGGGGGGCAAAUCCCCCCGGGGGAUGGGGGAGGGGGAUUUUUUGGAAUUUUUUUUUUUGGGGGGUAGAAAAAAACCCCUUUUUUAAAACCCUAAUUUUUAAAAAAAGGGAAAGUUUUUUUCCCGUUUCCCGGGGGGGGGGGGAAGGGGUGGAACCCCGUAAAACCGGGGGGUUUUUUUUUUUUUUUUUCCCAUUUUUCCCCCAAAAUCUUUGCUAAAAAUCCCCCAUAUUUUUUUUUAAAAAAAAAAAAAAAAAAAAAUUUUUUGUUUUUAAUUAAAAAAGAAAAAAAUUUUAAAAAAAAUUUUUAUUUUUUGUUUUUUUUUUGGGGGGGGGAAAAAAAAANNNNNNNNNNNNNNNNNNNNNNNNNNNNNNNNNNNNNNNNNNNNNNNNNNNNNNNNNNNNNNNNNNNNNNNNNNNNNNNNNNNNNNNNNNNNNNNNNNNNCAUAUUGAAUGAAAGACAUAUGGAGAAAAAUAGGCAAAUUUUGGAGGGAGGACAUUUUCCAUUCAAGCUUGUUUUUUUAUUGUUGUGGGCGAACGAUAGGUUAGGGGGGGGGGGGGGGGGAGAGAGAGAGAGAGAGAGAGAGGGGGGGCAAUGCCCCCUGUGGUAUGGUGUAGGGGUAUUUUUGGAAUUUCAUUACUUGAGGGUUAGUAUAAAUACCCUUUUUAUAUAACCUUAAUUUUAGAUAUAGUGAAAGUCUUCUUCCCUGUUCCCGUGGACGUAGGCAAUGUGUUGAAUCACGUUAAAUCUGUGUGUUUUUCUUUUCGUUUUCUCUAAUUUUCACCAUAAAUCAUUGCAUAAAACUCAACAAUAUUAGUUAUGAAAGAAAAAAAAAAAAAAAACUUGUAAGUAUCAAAUGAAACAAGAAAAAUAGUUAAAGAAAAGUUUUAAUUAUUGAUAUUAGUUAUGGUAGGGAAAAAAAUAACCUAUAAAGUAUCAAAUUAAACAACAAAAAUAGAUAAUUUAAAAAAAAAAUUAUUAAAAAUUAAAAAAAAAUUCAAACAAUAUUUCAAAAGAUUUUUUUAAAAAAAAAAUAGAAAGAAGUAUGAUUAUAAAUUUUUAAGAAUUUAACAUUUUUUUUUUAACAAAACUUAAAAAAAAAAAUCAAUAAUUUUUUUGUUAGAAAUUAUUAAUAUAUUUAGUUACUAUAUUAGAAUUAUAUAUUUAGUUAGUAUAUGUUUAUUUAUUUAGUUACCAUAUCUCUUAUUUAAUUAAUUAUUAUAUUGGAAUUAUUAUUAUUUUUAGAAGUAAUGGUGCAUUAGUUUUUAUUUCCUUUUAUUAGGUCUAUUUAAAUUCUAAUGGUAUUAUACCUAUUUUUAAAAGAAUUUAUGAUAAGAAAUUUUAAAUUUUCUUUUCUGUCUUUUACUCUUUGAGUCCCUUUUGGAUUUCAAUAUUUCUAAUAAAUUUUAAGUAUUUUUUAAAAAUAAUUAAAUUGAUAAAACUUUUAUUUAAAAUUUAUUUCUAACAAUAUAAUAUAGAGGCAGCACCAUUAUUAUCAAUUGUAAAUUUGUUGCGUCAAGAUUAAACCUAAAAGCUUAGGUAUUUUAAAAAUAUUAAAGUCAACCAAAACAACCUGCCACUAAAAAAAAUUCUAAAAUUUUGGGAUAAUGAAUAACACACAAUUAAAAUAAAAUCAUGAAAAUAAAAGAAUAUAUAUAUAUAUAUAUAUAUAAAUAAAAUCAUGAAAAUAAAAGAAUAUAUAUAUAUAUAUAUAUAUAUAUAUAUUUCUUCUUUCACUAAUUCAAUCUAGUAAAUAAUUUAAUCACCAGUAAAAUAAAAAGGAGAGAAGACAUACCUUGCUAGGGUUAAAGAAAGCUUUGAUCCUUUGGAAACUAGAGAAUUCUUUCUUGGCUGGGUGAUCUUCUCUAUCACCAAGGCUUCCUCUUGAUGGCUGAGGCCAAUAGAUCUGAUCUUGGGCGUAUAUAAGAUGUAUCCCACAACUUUUCAAUUUAAAGGAUUCGUUAUCGCCACAUCGAAAAGAGCCACCGCCCAUUGGAGUGUAAAGAGCCUUCAAGGUGUUCCACCGACUGGAUCGAAACUUACUUGGAAUGUGAAUUUGAGGGAAAUAGGUCACCCACAAUGCUGGAUCUGAUGUAGCACGACUAUCGUAGCAUAUGUAGUCAUACGAUAAACAUCGGAGAUAGUAGCCUUUACAUUCUGGAUCAAACCAUAUAUCACCAAUUUGUUUAGAUUGAUCACCAUGGGAUAGUGUCAAUAUACAUCGUGGAAAAUCGUCACAUGUGGUCUCACAUUCACCAUCAUCAAGAGGAACAUGAUGGAAGAAUAAAACAAAUCCCAACAAGUUGUUAUCUUCACGCCAAUUCAUUGGAAGCAAGCUCUACUGUUACUUCACAUCCCAUUCUCUGAUGACUUACCCACUCUGGUAUUCCACUACUUCCUGGAAUAACAAUAUUGCAUUGCUGCAGAAAAAUGUCAUGUAAAUCUCAUGCAAGAAAAAAAUAAAAAAUAAAAAAUAAUAAUUAUGCCAUGAAAAUGAUACUGAAAUUUUGAUAUAGAGGGUUCGAGGAGAGACCAGAGGAAUAGACUCGAGGAUGUUUCAGUUUCCAGACAUGGACAACCAUGUGCCUCUAUUCGUGUUAGACUUGAUGGAAGCUCUGCAAUUUCUUCAAGCAUCGGACAGUGAUUCAUGAGAAGGGUUUCGAGAUUAGAAAGUUGAGUGAUGCCAACAGGUAUGCAAUGAAUAUGGUUUUCACUUGCAUCUAAAAAUUGCAGUAAGGAUAAGCACCAUAAAUCACUGGGGAUUUCUCCUUCCAUCAUAUUGCAACCACCUAGAUCUAGACUUCUUAAGCAACAUCAUAAGCUUCUCAAGUUGUUGGGCAACUUGUGGAGCUUUGAAUAAUUACGAACAGAAAGACUUGCAAGACGUGUCAAAUUACCAAUGUUGCUGGGAAGACUCACAAGCUUCUCACAUUUGUACAAUUCCAAAUCCCAAAGACCUCUUAGAUGUUCAAUUGAUGAUGGCAGCUCUGUUAUAGCCAUUUCACGCAAAUAAAGGCAUUCUAAAUGUUCCAUAUCCUCUGUGAUCUCCCAAAAAGUUUCUAUAUUUGAACAACCAUUAAGAGAGAGGCGUUUGAGGGAUUUCAACCCACAGAUACUAUUUGGAAGACUUCUCGUUAAAUUUGGGUGAGAUGACCUAUUGAACUUUUCUGGAUCUCAAGAAACUUUUCAAAAUUUGAGCAACCACUGAGUAAAAGAGUUUCAAGGGCCUCUAAGCACCUAAUACUCUUUGGGAAUUCCUUAAUAGCGGUCUUCUCUAAAGAAAGUCUCUUUAAGCAUUUCAUGCUCCCUUGGAUCUCCGGGAAUUUUUGAAAGUUUGAGCACUCUGAGAGGUCAAGACUUAUAAGAGAUUCUAAAUAUCCAAUGCUGUCAGGGAGUUCCAUAGUACCACUCUGAGAUAAAUCAAGCUCCCUUAGAAGUCUCAUAUUGGUAAAUAUAUCUGAAAAUUUCUCAAACUUUAAACAUUUAUUAACAUAAAGAAUUUCGAGAGAUGUUAAGGACCCAAUGCUAUCUGGGAGUUCCUUAAUAGCAGUCUGAUGUAAAGAAAGUUUCUUCAAACAUUUCAUAUUCCUUCUAAUCUCUAGAAAUUUCUCAAAUUUCAAGCAAUAUGUGAGGUCAAGAGUUUCGGGAUAUUCCAAAUACCCUAUGUUGUCCGGGAGUUCUUUAAUACCACUUUCACGUAAAUUAAUCUCCCUUAAAUGUCCCAUAUAGGUAAAUAUAUCUGGAAAUUUCUCAAACUUUGAACAUCCUUUUAACCAAAGCUUCCUCAAAAACUUCAUAUUCCCAUGGAUCUCUGGAAAUUUCUCCAAGUUUGAACAAUUUGAGAGAUCAAGGACUUCAAGAGAUGCUAAAUGCAUGAUGCUACUUGGUAGUUCUCUAAUCCUAGUUUUGUUUAAAUAAAGCUCCUUCAAAUGUUUCAUAUUCCCAUGGAUCACAUCAAACUUCUCCAAGUUUUGACAAUGAUAAAGAUAAAGAACUUCAAGAGAUUCAAACUUCAUGCUAGUUGGGAAACUUUGGAGCUGUUCACAUCCUCCUAAAUUCAAGUAGGUCAAUCUUUUGAGAUGGCCAAUAGAUGAAUGAAGUUUACGCAAACUUGUACAACCUUUAAGAUUCAGUCUCUCCAAAUUCGCCAUGCUUGAGAAUUUUGGCAUUUUGACUAGGUGUUUUGAAUUACUUAGAUCAAUGCCCUUUAAUUUUCCAAGACACUGCAACAUAAGACAUUCUUUUAAUAAAACAAAAAUUCUUUUAACUUGAAAAUUAUCCUAAAGAAAAAAACAUUAAAUAAUGAUCAUACCUUAUUCCCUUUCCAAAGUUGUUUUAUGUUGCUAGACUUCAAGUUGAUUUCAAUAAGGUUCUCUCCAUAAAAUUUUGAAGGCAAAGACCUCAAAGUGCAUCCUUGCCAAUGAAGAUAUCUCAAAUUAUGAGGAAAUUCAAAAUCUUUAGGAAAAAACACUUUAUACUCCUCUCUCUUCAAACCAUCAUGAUCAUUGCAAUGGACUUUGAGCAACCUAAGUUUCUUCAUCUUGGCAAACACUUUUGUAGUGAACUGUAUUUCUUUUGAUCUAGACAAGUCGAGAGAUAUGGUUUGAAUACUUUCCAUCCCCUGGAAACAAGAAUGAAGAAUAAGGGAAUAACACAAGAUAAAAAUCCUAACUAAAAUUUUAUAGGCAAUUAAUCCUUAAAAAUGCAUUAUAAAUAUCUAAAUAACUAAGUUCAUAUAUUUAAUUCAUACCUCUUGUCUAGAAAAUGCAUCAUAAAUAUCAUCUACAUCCCACAAUCUGCUCCAUUUACUUAGGUCUCCAGGACAUUCUUCAUGAACAAUUGCCCAACCCAUUUCUUGUAUCAAGUCAUGCAUUUGUAUGAUGUUUUUUGAAAUAGUUACUAGACAUCUAUCACAAAGAACUCUUAUGUUGUAUGUUGCAAAUAAAUUGCAACCAUCUAAUAUUGUCAACAUAUAUAUAAUCUUUGUCUUCCCCUUUGAAGAAACAUGCAAUGUCAAGGAAAACCUCCUUUUCAAAAUGAUCAAGCCCAUCAAAACUUAUUCUAAGCACAUCAUUAAUUUUCUUGUUAGCAUUUUUUUUUCAAUUUAUCCAAUGCACUUUUCCAUUCAUCUAUUGCCAUGCCAUGGAGAGAAGAACCUAGAACUUUAAGGGCUAAAGGAAGACCUUGAGCAUAAUGUACCAUGCAAUUUGAGAGGUUUACAUAAUCUUCUUUGGGAACAUUUUGUUUAAAGGCAUGUCUACUGAAGAGUUGAAUAGCUUCCUUAUAAUGUAAUUGCUCAACCUUAUAUGAUAUAUCCACUCCAUACUCACCCAGCAAAUGUUGGUCUCUAGUUGUUAUGAUAAUUAUGCUUCCUAUACCAAACCAUUUAAGACUUCCAACCAAUAACUUUAAUUGCUCCAAAUGAUCCACAUCAUCAAUAACAAUAAGAACUUUUUUUGAGUCAAGUCUAGCCUUUAUUAUAUUGAUUCCUUUAUUGAUAUUGCUAAACUCUACAUCAUUCCCCAUUGUAUCAUGUAGAAGUUGUUGUUGUAGUUGAAGUUGACAACCCUUGUUGAAUGUCUCUCUGACAUCUUGAAGAAAGCUUGCACUGGUGAAUUGAUAUUGGAUCUCAUUAUAAACAAUCUUGGCAAUGGUAGUUUUACCAAUUCCACCAGGUCCAUAGAUCCCAACCACACGAAUGUCAUUCAAGUCACUACUUAACGAUUUUAGUUCUUUCAGGUGAAAAUCCAUCCCAACUAUAUCAUCGUUAAUAUGCAAAAGCUUAGAAUUCAUUGAUCUUUUAAAAAUCUGGUUAACAAUUUCCUUAAUAUGCUUUGACUCAUACCUGCCAAUUAUAAAGUACAAUUUAACACUUCAUGAGUUAUAAUGAAUUGCAAAAGAUAACAAAUAUAAAGUAAAUUUAGUGACAUUUACUUGCUUUUGUCAAUAUAAUAAAAGUAAUAGGAUGUAAAAAAUAUUAAAAGAACCCACUAUAUUGAGCAUUUUAUAGAUAAUGAAAAGGCAAGUAGUUUUGAGGCAAGUGUUAAUAAGAUCACAAAGCAAGCUUUACUAUACAAAAUUAUUAACUCGUUAAUUCAUAAUUUAAGACAACUAAAUCUUUACAACUAAUUAAAUCAAAAACACAAAUUAAGGAAGUUGAAGCUACCCAUCAUUCACAUGGAAACCACUAAGAUUGCUUGCUUCAGUCAAGGAAUCCCUCCACCUUUGCACCUUUUUCGCAUCUACAUUUCUUUCAUGAAUGGAAAAUGCCUCUCCGAAGCUCCCUGUUUGCUUUCGCACAUCACAAGGAUCCACGUGGUAGAACACCGGAAAGACUAUUUGUUCCAUUUCUUCCCUGCACUCCAUGAUCUUCGCUAACUCAUCCAAACACCACUUGGAAUGAGCAUAGUUUUUUGAGAACACAACUAUGGAAAUUCUUGAUUCUUCAAUACUUUUCAAAAGUUCUGAUUUGAUCUCCUCUGCUCCUUCAAGUUGAUCGUCUCUGAAAGUCUUAAUCCUCAUCCCAUGCAAAUUUACGAAUAAAUGAUCCGUAAAAUUGUUGCGGGUGUCUUCACCUCUAAAACUCAAGAACACUUCGAACUGAUAUUUACGGACUGAGGUAGAAGAAGAAGAGGGUUUUUGGGUAGAGGAAGCCAUCGUUGGAGUUGAGGAAGAACUUGUUCUUAGUCAAUACUUGAUAUGCCCACAGCAUGUUUGGGUCCUCAUAUGAAGCAAAACUAUUUUUCUUUUUUUUUUCUUUUUUUUUUUCUUUUUUUUUGGUGGAGUGGUUAGAUUGUAAAAAGCAAAGAUCGAUUUUCCCAAUACAUGCAAGCAGGUGAUUUGUCAGUUAAAUGUAAAGGAGUAAUGAGUGGGGAGGUCGGUGGCUUUUAAGAAGGGCCCACCCACCACAAAACCCGUAAAAGCCUUAAAUUAAAAUUUCAGUUUUCGGUAUUAUGGCCAUCGACGCUUUCCUUUGACCAGUCAAAACCUUUCAUUACAAUUGCCAUAGAUUGUAAAGUCUUUCAAUUCUAUUGCCACGGUGCAAUUUAAUAUAUAGUUUAUUCCUCCCUCCUAAAUUUUAACUUAAAUUCAAUUAAUUUUAAUUAUUUUUUUAUAUUCUAUUUAAUAUAUUAUUAAAAAUAUAAAAAUAUCAUAAUAAUCUUACCAGAGUCUUUCUUUAUUAAAAAAAAUAAACUUGGAUAUAAAAUUAUUAAUAUUUUUAAACAUAAAAAUAUAUGCAUAUAUCAUUAUUUUUUAUUUUAAAUAAAAAUCAUCAUUUUAAAUACAUACUUGAUUACUAAAAAAAAAUAAAAAUUUUAAUAAAUUAAUUAAUUUUAAUUAUCUUAUUAUUAAAUUUCAUUUAGCAUAUUAUGAAAAUGUAAAAACCAUAAUAAUAAUGAUUUACUGAAAACAAUCUUUUAUGUUUUUUGUAUAUUAAUUAUUUAUAAAUUUAUAUAUAUCAAAUUUAAAAAGUAAAUUAAAAAAUAAUCAUACAUAUAUCAUUAAUUAUUUUAUACCCUAAAAUACAUUCAAACUAAAUAGAACAUUAUUUUUAUAAUAAAUGUGGUAAGAUACUUUAUAAACUUAUUUAUGUUACUCGACGUACCCCUCUUCUUUAUUUUUAAGUUUUUAUUUUUCACUUUACAAACCAUCUAUGUUACUAAAUGUAUCCCUCUUUUUGUUUUACAAUUUUUAUAUUCUUUCAACUUUUCAAACUCAAUAUUCCUUUUAAAAAAAAAUUAAUUUUUAAAACUUUUUCUUUUAUAAAAAGUUUCUAAAACCAUAAAUUUUUUAGAUAAAUUUUAUUAUUAUAUUUUUCAUUAAAAAUGAAUAAUAACAUUGAAUUUUUUUAUAAGGAUGAAUCAUAAUAUUUCAAAAUUUCACAUAAAAUCUCAAUUACUUGAAAACGUAUGUUAAAUUAUAAGGAAUAAGUAUAAAUAAAGAGAUAAUAAUUAUUUCAAUAAAUAAUGAUAAAUUUUGCCAUAAUAAAAAAUAUAAAUUAUGCAUUUUUUUUUGUUAAAAGCCGAUCAUAUCAUCCACAAUACAAACUAAAGUGCAGGCUGUGUUGUCGGAUGAGGAACCCUUCUGGGGUCUUUUCCUUUUCGUAGAACCUUCAUAUUGCUUCCACAUUCUAUAAGGGUUCGUGUUGCAAGUAGGGAAAGGAAGGGAGAAAGAAACCUAAGAAAAGGACUUUUGAGUGCACUUUCAUGCAAAGUUCGAGGAAUCGAACAAAGAAGAGAACUCUUUAUCCAAGAAAACAUGAAUGUAAAUGGAGUAAAUAGAACGAAAACUGGAAUUAGUAUAUAAAGAUGAAGAAAGAGGUGGGUUUUCCUCACUUGAACACCGAUAACACAAGAUUGGUAGCUUGAUGCUAAUGGAAGAGGAAAAAACAAGAAUGUCGUGGUGUGGUAAUAGUGUUAUUGAGACUCCAAAAGGAAGGAUGUCAUAACUUUUGAAAUUUGAAAAGGCAUGGUAUGUGUGUCAUCGGUAGGAGGCAAAAGAAACCCCCAAAGGAGGCUUGAAGGUACAUUGGUUUGAGUGUCCAAUACAAAAAAAUUCCAAGGUCUGGAAAAUCAAGGAAAAUAUAUUCCCACUUAAAUGAAAAAGAAUUUUCCGUUUGACCUCAGCUAAGGGUCAACGAAAAAUUGAGGGCAAUUGUGGGCACCAUGGUAAAUGGGGAUAAACGGGCCUACCUAAAGAACUAUCUGCUGAUUUGGGCCAGUUUGGGCCUCGAUUAAAAGCCCAUUUAGCCUAAUUGCCCGACUUACUUAAAUAGCCCAACAAGUAAAGUGGAAAAUAAAAUGUGGGAGAACAACCCACAAGAAGUAGUGAAGGCAAUUAACGCUUGGGGCAGUAAUUGCUUGAAGUGGCUAAAAAGUGUCCCCAUGAUCUCCACACCUAUCGGUAGCUAAAAGGUAUAUGAAUACAACUGGCAAGUCUAAAAAGCAGAAAAAAAAAAAAAAAAAGGAUUGUAACAUGAGAAAUAUUACAUUUUCUAGAAAACCCUAGGUAACUUAAUAAUUGGAGGAGGUGAUUCCGGGGUAAAACUGAGUGAGCCCUGUGUGGCAAGGAUAAGGAAGCGCGCGAUAAGAAUAGGACUAUUGCUCAAGAAAUUCUCAACUCCAAUAGGCAUUACUUUACAAAAUAUUUUAAAAUGAUGAAAAUAAAAUAGGAAGUUUUAAUUUUGGUAGGUAGGAAGGAAAUAAUUGAGAAGUUUUUUUUUUUUUUUUUUUUUUAAAGUAAAAAUGAUAGCACUAGAGUCAAGAUUUUGCAAUGCCUUAAUUCUAUCAUAAAAUGAAUUUAUGUAUACUUACACAAAAUUUUCAAUAGAUGAUUACUAUAAGAAAAAAAAAUCCACCUUUUUUUAGCUUUAUUUUUAAUAUGAUUCUCAUUCUUAAAAUAAUAAAAUUUAAGUAAGUGUGUGUUUUUUUUUCUUCUGUUAUUAUCAAUUAUAAAAUUCAAAAUCUUUUCAUUUGAUUUGUUAAUGCUAUGUUUGGUUUAAGAAUUGUAAUAAAUAAAGAAAAUUAUUUUCUCAUAUUUGAUUUUAUUAUAAAAAAUAAAAAAAUAUAAUUAAAAUUAAUUAAAAACUUAUAUAUUUUUAAAUGAUUUAUUUUUAUAUAAAAGUAUUAAAUUAAAUAAAAUGAGUUUGAAGUGAUGUAUAAAAAUAAUUUAUUUCCUUUAAAUCUAUUUUUAUUUUAUAAUAGAAUCCAAAGUUUUAUAAUGCUUAAACGCGCGUAGAAAGAGAGCAAUCAAGCUUCAUGUGCUAGUAAUUUUUUUAUUUUUUUAUUUUAGUAUUUCUUGUUUGGAUUGAAACAAAAUCAACACAUCAUACAAAAUUAUAAUAAACUUUUAAUUUUCAAAUAGAUUAAGUGUAUAUUAUAUUUAUACAUAAUGCUAAAUCAUAGAUGCUUCAAAAAAUUACGUAGGAUAACUAAUUAUUUUUCUAUUAAAAAAAUAAAUGAUGUCAUUAAUUGUUGUAAACUAAUUUACAUUAUGGGAUGAUGAGUUGGUUGGUCAUUCUAUCAUCUUCAAAAUCAUCCCGGAAAAUAAAAGUAGUCCCAUAAUUAAUGAUUAAAUAAAAACAUUUUUUUUUCAUUUUUUAAAAAAAUAAAAUUUUAAUUUUAAUUUCUUCCACUCCUAUGAGGUGGCUAGUAAAGGUGGUUAAGAAACCAAAUGCUUGUACAUUUUCUGUUCUUUUCUUUUCUUUUAAUAUUACAUUUAUCAUGUUUUUAUUUUUUCAUUUAUGUAUUAAAAUUUUUAAAGGCGACUUCCUUAUUUAAUAAGAGAAGUAAGUGUCUCUCCCAAUUAGAGUUUAUAAUACCCCUUGGUUUUUUUUUUUUUAUUAUUAUUAUAGAAAGUUGAAUAAUUUAAUCAUAAAACAAGAGCAAGUGUGGAAAAUUAUAGUCCUAUAUAAAAUGUAGGAGCUCUCAUAAAUUUAUCUUGAAAAAAUAAUAAUUUUAAAAAAUCAAUUCUUAUACAAAAUUAGGUAUUAAAAAAAAAAAAUUGACUACCUCAAAUUUUAAAAAUCUUGAAAGUAAUUUUUAAAAAUAUAAAAUUUAUGGUCCAUGCAAGUUAUUGGAUUUCAUAUAUAAAUAGCUAUUAUUUUCCUUUUUUACAAAACAUGGAAUUAGUAAGCCGGAGGGCACUUAGACACAUAUACAUUAAAAUCGAGGGAAAUAUGGUAUCCUCAUUUUUUUUUUUUUUUUAUGAAAAAUUAAAGAAAAUGAAUAUGCCUAAAUAAAUGGUUUGUAUGGAUUGAGAUUAUUAUAAGAUGAAAAUGACUACACUCCAAUAUGCUAAUAUUCAUGCCAUAUUUUAGUCGUGUUAUCAUGUUACAUCAAAAUUAUCAUCCUGAUAUUUUUUUUAUAUAUAAAUUUAAUAAUAUGGUACAUAACUUUUGUAGAACAAAAAGUUUAUAAGCUAGUCUUGCUAAAUAAUUGAAGCUACUUUGGUCACUAUGCAUAUGAUCUUAAUAGAUAAAUGAGGAUAAUUUAUCAUUGUUUCAAAAUCAUUCUUGAAAAUGCUUGUAAAUAAUUUCAAAUAAAUAAAAUUAUCCAUACCUAAAAGCAUACAAAUUAAAAUCAACAAUUCAAAUUAUCCAUACUUAAAAACAUACAAAUUAAAAUUACUAAUUCACAUUAUACAUGCUUAAAAACAUAUAAAUAAAAAUCCACAAUCCAAACAAAGUGUCUCUUUUAUGGCAUUCUCAUUCUGGUUCAAUACCGCAUCUCUACCAUCCUUCCAAUUCCAUAACCAAUAGUUAGUCUAGUUUCCAUGCGCAACCUGACCAAUGGUUAGUCAUAGUUUAAUGAGCAUAUUAUGACAAUAAUUAUCCUGUGCUUUUUCAUCUUUAGAAAUGAAACAAAGAGCAAAAUAAAUAUUAAUUCAUGCUAUGUAAUUGAAAAACAUAUGAUAAUUGUUUUGGUCUACCAAUUAAAAAAUGAAGCUCUAAAUAAAAAUUUUAAUUAAUUCAAACAAAAACUCUGGCCUACCAAAACAGCUACGGUAAUAUGGUUUUUCUUUCUAAAUUCAUUAGUUCAUUCCAAAGAUAAAACUUUGAUAGGUUCUAAGAUAUUUAUUAGAAAAAAUAAAGGAGUUUUAACUUUAGAUUGGCCUAAGAAUACAGGAUCUCCAAAUUUCAUAAACACUUGGAAUAAUUAAAAAUAAAAUAAAAUAAAAUAAAAUAAAUACAUAAAAAGGAAAAAAGAAAUUUGAAUUUCCUGACCAUAUCUAAUUCUGUAUUGAACUCUAUAUUCUUCCAAGCAUGUAAUCAUUUUAAAAUAUGUCUAUAUAUUUUUUUCCAUUAAUUCUUCUAAAUAUUUUAAACCUUAUGGAGUAGAGUUGGAAACCACAGAUAUCUUCAUUUUUUUUUAGUAUGAUUUCUUUUCAUAAAAACCUUUUAUUGUAUUGUAAUGAGUAAAUAAAAAAAAUAUAGACAUAAACUGAGAAGCAUGUAAGUUACAUGUUUCAAACAAUCUUGAUAUGGCCUUAAAGGAGUGGUUGAGUUAGAUAAGUAGGGGGCAAAGUAAAUUCUUUUUUUUUUUUCAUAAAAAAAACAUGAAAUAUAAUAAACAUACAAAUUUUUUUACAUUUCAUGAAGUGCUUUAUCAUUUAACAAAAUAAGUGAUUAUUGAUAUUAGUUAUGAAAGAAAAAAUAUAUAAAAUAAAAAAUGAAACAACAAAAUAGAUAAAGAAAAGUUUUAAUUAUUGAUAUUAUUUAUGAAAGAAAAGAAGAUAUAAAGUAUGAAAUGAAACGACAAAAAUACAUAAUUUUUUAAAAUUUUGUUUAAAAAUUAACAAAAAUUCAAACAAUAUUUUCAAACGAAUUUUAAAAAAUAGCAAGAAAGGUGACCAUAAAUUUUAAAGAAUUUCACAUUUUUUUUAACAAAACUUUAAAAAAUUCAAUAAUUUUACUAAUAAAUUUUAAGAAUCAUUUUUGAAAUAAUUAAAUUGAUAAAAUUUUUAUUUAAAAUUUAUUUCUAACAAUAUAAUAUAAAUGUAGCAUCAUUAUCAAUAGUAAAUUGGCGAAACUAUGGGAUCUAAAAUUUUGGGAUAAUUAAGAACACAUGAUUAAAAUAAAAUCAUGAAAAGAAAAGAAAAAAAAAUAUAUCAGCUGGGUUAUGAUUUCAAAUGUUUUCUAGAUAUUUCAUUUUUUUGCUAAUUCCAUCUAAUAAAUAUUAUAUUCACUAGUGAAUGAAAAAAGAAGAGAGAGAACACAUACCUUGCUAGAGGUUAAAGAAACCCUUGAUCCUUUGGAAACUAGAGAAUUUUUCCUUGGAUGAGUGAUCUUCUCUAUUAGCAGGCCUUUUUCCCGACGGCUGAGGCCAAUGCUUCUGAUCUUGGGCAUAUAUGAGAUGUAUCCCACAACUUUUCAUUUUAAAGGAUGCGUUUUCGCCACAUGUAAAAGAGGCAUUAUAGACACGAUUGUAAAAGUGAGCCUUGAAGUUGUUCCACUUUCUGGAUCGAUACUUGCUUGGAAUGCCAAUCUGCGGGAAAUACGUCACCCACAGUGCUGGAUCUGAUGUGCUACCACUGUCGUAGCGUUCGCUGCUACAUGAUAUACCUUCAAUGCAGUAUCUUUUACAAUGAGGAUGAAAAUGAAUAUUAUCCAGUCGUUUAGAUUGAUCACCAUGGGAUAUCGCCAAUUCACAUUGAGGAAAAUAAGAUGUUCUCACGCAUUCAUCAUCAUCAAGGGGAACAUGAUGGAAGAAUAAAACAAAUCCUAACAAGUUAUUAUCUUCAUACCAAUUCAUUGGAAGCUCCACACUUACUUCACAUCCCAUUCUUUGAUGACUUACCCACUCUGGUAUUCCACUACUUCCUGGAAUGAUAAUAUUAAAUCUCCGCUGCAGAAAAAAAUGUCAUGUAAAUCUCAUGCUUUUUUUUUGAAAAAAAAGGGGGGUGGGGUUGGGGAAGGGCGGUUGAUAAUUAUGCCAUGAAAAUGAUACCUGAAUUGGUGAUUUCAAGUGUUUGAGCAAAGAAGACCAGAGUAGACUUGAAGAAGUUUCAGUUUCCAGGCAUGGACAACCAUGUGCCUCUAUCCAUCCUAGACUUGAUGGAAGCUCUCCAAUUACUUCAAGCAUCGGACAAUGAUUCAUGAGAAGGGUACGAAGCUUACAAAGAUGAGUGAUGCCAGUAGGUAUGCAACGCAUAUGGUUUUCACUUAUGUUUAAAAAUUCCAGUGAGGAUAGGCACCAUAAAUCACUGGGGAUUUCUUCUUCCAUCAGAUUGCAACCACCUAGAUCUAGCGACGUUAAGAUACAUUGCUGGCUUCUCAAAUUGUCAGGCAAGUUGUGGAGCUUUGGACAGUUACGAACAUGAAGACUAGUAAGACAUGUCAAAUUACCGAUGCUAUUGGGAAGAGCCACAAGGUUCUCACAAUUGAUCAAUUCCAAGGAUUUAAGACCUCUCAGAUGUUCAAUUGAUGAUGGCAGCUCUGAGAUACCCGUCUCACAUAAAAAAAGGCCUUCUAAUUGUUCCAUAUCCUCCGUGAUCUCUAAAAAAGCCUCUAGAUUUGAACAACCAUUGAGAGAGAGGCCUUUGAGGGAUUUCAACCCACAUAUACUGUUUGGAAGACUUUUCAAGUUUCUACAAUUUUCCAAAUCUAAGCGUUCAAGUCUGGUGAGAUGACCUACUGAGUAGGGUAAUCCUCUAAUAGCAGUCUCAUCUAGAAAAAGACCCCAUAGAUUCCCCAUAUUUUUUUGAAUCUCAGGAAACCUCUCAAGAUUUGAGCAACCACUGAGAUCAAGAAUUUCAAGGGCCUGCAAGCGCCCAAUGCCAUUUGGGAGUUCCUUAAUAGCAGUAUCCUCUAAACAAAGCAUCUUCAAGCAUUUCAUAUUCCCUUGGAUCUCUGGAAAUUUCUCAAAGUUUGAGCAAUAUCUGAGGUUAAGUUCUUCAAGAGAUUCCAAAUACCCAAUGCUGCCUGGGAGUUCCUUAAUACCACUCCCAUAUAGACAUAGCUCCCUUAAACGCCCCAUAUUGGUAAAUACAUCUGAAAAUUUCUCAAACUUUGAACAUUCUCUAAGAGAAAGCAUUUCAAGAGAGGUUAAGGACCCAAUGCUAUUUGGGAGUUCCUUAAUAGCAGUCUCAUCUAAAAAAAGAUUCAACAAACAUUUCAUAUUCCCUUGGAUCUCUGGGAAUUUCUCAAAUUUGGAGCAACAUGAGAGGUCAAGAAUUUCAAGAGAUUCCAAAUACCCAAUGCUGCUUGGGAGUUCUUUAAUACCACUCUCACGUAAAUGAAGCCCCCUUAAAUGUCCCAUAUAGGUAAAUGUAUCCGGAAAUUUCUCAAACUUUGAACAUCUUUCUAAAUAAAGCUCCCUCAAAAAUUUCAUAUUCCCAUGGAUCUCAGGAAAUUUCUCGAAAUUUGAACAAUCUGAGAGAUUAAGGACUUCAAGAGAUGCUAAAUACACAAUGCUACUUGGUAGUUCUUGGAUCCCACUCCUGUUGAAAUAAAGCUCCUUCAAACAUUCCAUAUUCCCAUGGAUCUCAGGAAAUUUCUUGAAAUUUGAACAAUAUGAGAGAUUAAGGACUUCAAGAGAUGCUAAAUACACAAUGCUACUUGGUAGUGCUUGGAUCCCACUCUUGUUUAAAUAAAGCUCCUUCAAACAUUCCAUAUUCCCAUGGAUCUCAGGAAACUUCUUCAAGUUUGGACAACAAUUAAGAUAAAGAACUUCAAGAGAUUCAAACUUCAUGCUGGAUAGGAAACUUCGGAGCUGUUCACAUCCUCCUAAAUUCAAGUAAGUCAAACUUUUGAGAUCGCCAAUAGAUGGAUGAAGUUCACGCAAGCUUAUACAACCUUCAAGAUUCAGUCUCUCCAAAUUCGACAUGCUUGAGAAUUUUGGCAUUUUGACCAAUUGUUUUGAGUUACUUAGAUCAAUGCCCUUUAAUUCUUCAAGACGCUAUAACAGAAGACAUUUUGUUAAUAAAAAAAAUAAAAAAUUGAAAAUUAUUAUAAAGAAAAAAAACAUUAAAUAAUGAUCAUACCCUAUUCCCUUUCCAAAGUUGUUUUACGUUGCUAGACUUCAAGUUGAUUUCAAUCAGGUGCUUUCCAUUAAAGUUCCAAGGUAAAGACGUCAAAGUGCAUCUUUGCCAAUGAAGAUAUCUCAAAUCAUGAGGAAAUUGAAAGUCUUUAGGAAGAAGCACUUUAUACUCCUCUCUCGUCAAACCAUCAUGAUCAUUGCAAUAGAUUUUAAGCAACCUAAGUUUCUUCAUCUUGGAAAACACUUUUGUAUUGAAUUGUAUUUCUCUUGAUCUAGACAAGUCCAAAGAUAUGGUUUGAAUAUUUUGCAUCUCCUGGAAAACAAUAAGGAAAAAUAAGGGAAUAACACAAGAUAAAAAUCCUAACUACAAUUAUAUAGUCAAUUAACCACUAAAAAAUUGAUUAUAAGCAUUUAAAUAACUAUAUUAAGCAUUUAAUUCAUACCUCUUGUUUAGAAAAUGCAUCAUAAAUAUCAUCUACAUCCCACAAUCUACUCCAUUUGCAGGGGUCUCCAAGACAUUCUUCACGAAUAAUUGCCCAACCCAUUUCUUGUAUCAAGUCAUGCAUUUGUAUGACGUUGUUUAAGAUAGUUACUAGACAUCUAUCACAAAGAACUCUUAUGUUGCAUGUUACAAAUAAAUUGCAACCAUCUAAUAUUCUUGACACAAAAUCUUUGCAUUCACCUUUGAAAAAACACGCAAUGUCCAGGAAAACCUCCUUUUGAGAAGGAUCAAGCCCAUCAAAACUUAUUCUAAGCGCAUCAUUAAUUUCCUUCAUAGGGUUUUUUUUCAAUUUAUCCGAUGCGCUUUUCCAUUCAUCUAUUGUCAUGCCCUGAAGAGAAGAACCUAGAACUUUAAGGGCUAAAGGGAGACCUUGAGCAUAUUGUACCAUGCAAUUUGAGAGGUCUACAUAAUCUUCUUUAGGAACAUUUUGUUUAAAGGCAUGUUGGCUGAAGAGUUGAAGAGCUUCCUCAUAAUGUAAUUCUGUAGCCUUAUGUGAUAUAGUCACUCCAUACUCAACCAACAGAUGUUGGUUUCUAGUUGUAAUGAUAAUUGUACUUCCUGGACCAAACCAUUUAGGACUUCCAGCCACUGACUCUAAUUGUUGCAACCGAUCCACAUCAUCAAUUACAAUAAGAACCUUUUUUGAGCCAAGUCUGUCCUUUAUUAUAUUGAUUCCUUUAUUGAUAUUGCUAAACUCUUCAUCAUUCCCCACUGUAUCAUGAAGAAGUUGUUGUUGUAGUUGAAGUUGACAACCCUUGUUGAAUGUCUCUCUGACAUCUUGAAGAAAGCUAGCACCAGUGAAUUGAUAUUGGAUCUCAUUAUAAACAAUCUUGGCAAUGGUAGUUUUACCAAUUCCACCAGUUCCAUAGAUCCCAACCACACGAGUGUCAUUCAAGUCACUACUUAACAAUGACUUUAGUUCUUUUAGGCGAAAAUCCAUCCCAACUAUAUCAUCGUUAAUGUGCAAAAGCUUAGAAUUCAUUGAUCUUUUAAAAAUCUGGUUAAUAAUUUCCUUAAUAUGCUUUGACUCAUACCUGCCAAUUAUAAAGUACAAAUUAACACUUCAUGAGUCAUAAUGAAUUGCAAGAGAUCACAAAUAUAAAGUAAAUUUAGUGAUAUUUACUUGGUUUUGUCAAUAUAACCAAAGUAAUAGGAUGUAAAAAGUAUUAAAAGAACCCAAUAUAUUGAGCAUUUUACAGAUAAUGAGAAGGCAACAAGUUUUGAGCCUAGUGUUAAUUAGAUCACAAAGCAAGCUUUACUAUACAAAAUUAUUAACUUGUUAAUUCAUGAUUUAAGACCACUAAAUCCUUACAACUUAAUUAAAUCAAAAGCACAAAUUAAGGAAGUUGAAGUUACCCAUCAUUCACAUGGAAACCGCUUAUAUUGCUUGCUUCAGUCAAGGAAUCCCUCCACCUUUGCACCUUUUUCGCAUCUACAUUUCUUUCAUGAAUGGAAAAUGCCUCUCCGAAGCUCCCUGUUUGCUUUCGCACAUCACAAGGAUCCACGUGAUAGAACACCGGAAAGACCAUUUGUUCCAUUUCUUCCCUGCACUCCAUGAUCUUCGCUAACUCAUCCAAACACCACUUGGAAUGAGCAUAGGUUUUUGAGAACACAACUACGGAAAUUCUUGAUUCUUCAAUAGUUUUCAAAAGUUCUGAUUUGAUCUCCUCUCCUCUUUCAAGUUGAUCGUCUCUAAAAGUCUUAAUCCCCAUCCGACCCAAAUUUACGAAUAAAUGAUCCGUAAAAUUGUUGCGGGUGUCUUCACCUCUAAAACUCAAGAACACUUCGAACUCAUAUUUACGGACUGAGGCAGAAGAAGAAGAAGAGGGUUUUUGGGUAGAGGAAGCCAUUGUUGGACAGUUUCUGGAUGAAAGCUUAGAGAGAGUUGAGGAAGAACUUGUGCUGAGUCAAUACUUGAUAUGCCGACAGCAUCUUUGGG